GUGCAAAGGUAGCAUAAUCAUUUGCUUUUUAAUUGAAGGCUAGUAUGAAAGGACACACAAGGAUAAAACUGUCUCUCUUAAAUUAAAUAUAAACUGAUAAUUAGGUGAAGAAGCCUAAAUUAUAAUAAAGGACAAAAAGACCCUAUAGAGCUUUACUGGCUAGAGUAUUAUACUCAAUAUCAGGUUGGUUGGGACAACCAAAAGACAUUAUCACCUCUUUUUAAAAUUAUAAAAUACUUACCCAAUAAUGUAUAAAAAAUAGCUACCUUAGGGAUAACAGGCUAAUCCCACUAGAGAGAUCACAUUGACAGUGGGGGUUGGCACCUCGAUGUUGGCUUAGUGUAACUAUUAGGCGCAGUCGCCUAAUAAGUUGGUUUGUUCAACCAUUAAAUCACUACGUGAUC
rnacentral:rRNA from 1 species